rnacentral:rRNA from 1 species
GCGUAACGCGUGGGAAUCUGCCCUUGGGUUCGGAAUAACGUCGGGAAACUGACGCUAAUACCGGAUGAUGACGUAAGUCCAAAGAUUUAUCGCCCAGGGAUGAGCCCGCGUAGGAUUAGCUAGUUGGUGAGGUAAAGGCUCACCAAGGCGACGAUCCUUAGCUGGUCUGAGAGGAUGAUCAGCCACACUGGGACUGAGACACGGCCCAGACUCCUACGGGAGGCAGCAGUAGGGAAUAUUGGACAAUGGGGGCAACCCUGAUCCAGCAAUGCCGCGUGAGUGAUGAAGGCCUUAGGGUUGUAAAGCUCUUUUACCCGGGAUGAUAAUGACAGUACCGGGAGAAUAAGCCCCGGCUAACUCCGUGCCAGCAGCCGCGGUAAUACGGAGGGGGCUAGCGUUGUUCGGAAUUACUGGGCGUAAAGCGCACGUAGGCGGCGAUUUAAGUCAGAGGU